AAUGGUCGUAUCUUUGUCGAUACAAAUCGGAUUGACCUGAUUCCAAAGCCAAAUGAACAAAGACUUCUGGAUCUACAAUUUCUCUGUUUUGGGUUUUCUGAAAUAAUCACUGUAGGAUAGUCGAAAUUGGGUUGGAAGUAACGAACAGAACAGGAAAAGACAGAGACUCCGUUGGUUGCUCUUCUAGGCCUCCAAGGAAGUUGAGGGGCACCGAUUCUUCUAGAUCGAUGACUGCAACUCUUCAAGGAUGCAGAUUUCGAAAGCUCCGACUCUUCAAGGACGGAGUGAAAACUCUUCUAGGUUUUCAAGGUAUGAAUUCUACAAGGUUCAUGAUACUUGCUUCAAGCAAAGUUUUUUCAUUUAUCAAAAGUCAUCAAAAGUUGUCUAUCUUCUACAAGGGAUUGGCUUAUAUCAUCAAAGAAAUAAAAACAGAAUGUUGAAACUAGGAGAAAUAAAGACAAAGCGUUGAAAACUAGGAGAAAUAAAAACGGAGCAUUGAAAAUAGGAGAAAUAGUAAAGAGCAUGGAAACUAUAAACUAGUAAAAGCGUCACGCGAGCUUCCAAGGUGUCUUUCAUGCUUCCGGGAUGGACUCAAGAUGUCGUUAUGGCUUCUCGGUUUCGUCGAGCUUUAAUGCGGGCCGAUCUUCUUGGUCGAGAGAGCCGGUCUUCAAUGUGGGCUGCAUCAUCCUCCCCAUCUUUAAAAGAAUUCAUCCUCGAAUUCUUGCCAGCAUCAUCAGAAGAAUCUCCCACCCUACUAGGUGCCAACGUAAUCUUCUUGCCUCCAAAUUCAAAAGAAUAUGUAUUUCGAUAACCAUCAUGCAUAGUCCUCUUAUCGAAUUGCCAUGGUUGACCAAGAAUAAUGUGACUAGCAUCCAUCGGCAGAACAUCACACCAUAUUUUGUCACUAUAAACAGAACCAAUGGAUAGAUUAACAAGGCAUCGUUUUGAAAUAGUUACCUCAGCACCUAUCUUCAACCACAACAUUUUAUAAGGCGUAGGGUGCGCUUUUAAUUCCAACUUCAGCUUGUUUGCCGCUACUUCAGAAAUUAUAUUCUCACAACAACCAGAGUCAAUAAUUAAUUGACAUACCUUUCCCAUGAUUGUGCAAGCAGAAUGGAAAAUAUUGGUACGCAGCCACCUAUCUCCAGUGUCAUCUCGAGGAGUAGGAAAAUUUUUCCUCACCAUAAGAAGUUCGCCAGUGUCAGCAUGCACUAUUUGUUCAUCAUCCGCAGCUUCUUCAUCAUUUUUCAACUCCUCUUCAAGUGGAUCCUCAGUGUUCUCAUCAGAAUUAUUAUCCACCAAGAAGGCUUUACCGGCUGGUCGAUUCUUAUUGAUUCGACAAUUGCUAGCACGAUGACCCAACUCCCCACAAGAAUAGCAACGUAUUUCAGAUGUAGCAGGUUGCUUCGAAUCAUGAGGUUGAGUAGAAGGCUUACUAGCAGAUUGCUGUCUCCGAGAAUGAGAGCGCUCCAUUUUGAGUGCCCGUUGGUGUGCAUCUCCUAAGUCCCAAAUGUCGAGGACUUCCAAGGCGUCUUGAAUGUAAAAUUGAAGACCGUUCAAGUAUUUGUUCACAAGCACCUCCUCCGGAUCUUGGAUAUUGUUACGAAUCACCAACUCAUUGAAUUCAUUGGUGUAUUGGUCCACCGUUCGCGUACCUUGUUUUAGAUUUUGGUACCGUUGGUAGAGCUCUCUCUUAUAUCCUUUGGGAAGAAAAUAUUUUUGAAUCUUGCCCUCCAUCUUUCUCCACGAAGUGACUUGUGCUUUGCCAACGGCUUGGCGAGUUUGUUUUUCACGUCUCCACCAAGCAAUCGCCUUGCCUCGGAAUCGCAUAGCAAUGAUCCCAACGCGACGAUUCUCCGGAACAUUUCGAUGCUCAAACACCUCAUUCACAAGUGUUAGCCAAUCAACAAUUUCAUCAGGAGACUCAUUACUUGUAAAUUCUGGAACAUCUUUCUUGACUUCUUUUUCCCAAUCUGGCUCACGAAUAUGUUGUAAACGAUGUCGAUCUUGUGUCAUUAAGUCCAAAACUUGAUUUUUUUUUCGUUCAAAUUGGCCCUUCAAUAAAAAUAUGGACAGAGUUGCCGACAUUGCCAUCAAGUUACAUUUAGAAGUGUGGCAUUUAAAAAAGAAAUCAGAAAUAAAGAAUGUUGAGAAGCAAACAAAGUAUAUAAAAAAUAAUAAGGAAUACGGAAAUCUAACCCGGGUAAUGCCUCCGACCAUGAAUAGAUUGAACACUCUCUGAAGAGGAAGAGUCACCAUGGGAAUCUUCAGUCCUGGAACGGGGUGGAGAAUUAUUUGCUUCAGCCCUCAAACGCUGAACUUCUUGCGUCAAUUCAUCAAUUUGUUGUUGCAUAUUCUCAGCGAGUGUGUGCAAUUCAUUGAGGGGAAGGGUUCUGCCGCCACGGCGCCUAGCUUGUCUUGGAGGCAUUGUCCUCUCCUCCAAAGCUCUGAUACCAAAUGAUGCAAGCCUAGGGGAGGCUUUCUCAAACAGUAGGAUCGGGAGAGUGACUUGCACACGGAAACAGGACAAACAGGAAUUUCAGCACUGCACGAGCUCAGGAGAAUGGUCGUAUCUUUGUCGAUACAAAUCGGAUUGACCUGAUUCCAAAGCCAAAUGAACAAAGACUUCUGGAUCUACAAUUUCUCUGUUUUGGGUUUUCUGAAAUAAUCACUGUAGGAUAGUCGAAAUUGGGUUGGAAGUAACGAACAGAACAGGAAAAGACAGAGACUCCGUUGGUUGCUCUUCUAGGCCUCCAAGGAAGUUGAGGGGCACCGAUUCUUCUAGAUCGAUGACUGCAACUCUUCAAGGAUGCAGAUUUCGAAAGCUCUGACUCUUCAAGGACGGAGUGAAAACUCUUCUAGGUUUUCAAGGUAUGAACUCUACAAGGUUCAUGAUACUUGCUUCAAGCAAAGUUUUUUCAUUUAUCAAAAGUCAUCAAAAGUUGUCUGUCUUCUACAAGGGAUUGGCUUAUAUCAUCAAAGAAAUAAAAACAGAAUGUUGAAACUAGGAGAAAUAAAGACAAAGCGUUGAAAACUAGGAGAAAUAAAAACGGAGCAUUGAAAAUAGGAGAAAUAGUAAAGAGCAUGGAAACUAUAAACUAGUAAAAGCGUCACGCGAGCUUCCAAGGUGUCUUUCAAGCUUCCGGGAUGGACUCAAGAUGUCGUUAUGGCUUCUCGGUUUCGUCAAGCUUUAAUGCGGGCCGAUCUUCUUGGUUGAGAGAGCCGGUCUUCAAUGGGGGCUGCAUCACUUUCGGUCCCUCUCCCUUGAAUGAAUU
rnacentral:lncRNA from 1 species